GAGCAAAUGCAGAUGAUAAUUAAAUGUAGCACUAUGACCGAACCUAGCAUAAGAUAUAGUGCUGAAAACUUAAUCACAAUUCAGCUAUAAGCUGAAAGAAAGCAAGAUAUUGGAAACAGAACCAUAUCUAGAAAUCAUAACGGCACUUUGAUACCUCUGCUCUUCAUUUAUCCUGCUAUCUGGUAGUGCUGAAACAGCUACAUUCAUAGCAAACUCAUCUUCAUCUUCCUUGCCUGGAUCAUCAACAGCAUUUUCACUUCCAG
rnacentral:lncRNA from 1 species